rnacentral:rRNA from 1 species
UUAGAGUUUGAUCCUGGUUCAGGAUGAACGCUAGCGACAGGCUUAACACAUGCAAGUCGAGGGGCAACACAGGUAGCAGUACUGGGUGGCGACCGGCGCACGGGUGCGUAACGCGUAUGCAACCUACCUAUAAUAGGGGGAUAGCCUUCUGAAAGGGAGAUUAAUACCGCAUAACACAACUGAGUCGCAUGAUUUAGUUGUUAAAUAUUCAUAGAUUAUAGAUGGGCAUGCGUCUGAUUAGAUAGUUGGUGAGGUAACGGCUCACCAAGUCGACGAUCAGUAGGGGUUCUGAGAGGAAGGUCCCCCACACCGGAACUGAGACACGGUCCGGACUCCUCCGGGAGGCAGCAGUGAGGAAAAUUGGGUCAAUGGGCGAGGAGCUUGAACCAGCCAAGUCGUGUGAAGGAAGAAGGUCUUAUGGAUUGUAAACUUCUUUUACAGGGGAAUAAAGAUGAGUUCGAGUACUCAGUUGUAGGUACCCUGGGAAUAAGGAUCGGCUAACUCCGUGCCAGCAGCCGCGGUAAUACGGAGGAUUCGAGCGUUAUCCGGAUUUAUUGGGUUUAAAGGGUGCGCAGGCGGGUUGAUAAGUCAGUGGUGAAAGGUUUACGCUUAACGUAGACAUUGCCAUUGAAACUGUCGAUCUUGAGUACAAAUGAGGUAGGCGGAAUGUGUUGUGUAGCGGUGAAAUCCAUAGAUAUGACACAGAACACCGAUUGCGAAGGCAGCUUACUGGGAUGUAACUGACGCUCAGGCACGAAAGCGUGGGGAUCAAACAGGAUUAGAUACCCUGGUAGUCCACGCAGUAAA